rnacentral:rRNA from 1 species
AACGAACGCUGGCGGCAUGCCUAACACAUGCAAGUCGAACGAGACCUUCGGGUCUAGUGGCGCACGGGUGCGUAACGCGUGGGAAUCUGCCCUUCGGUUGGGAAUAACUGAGAGAAAUUUCAGCUAAUACCUUAUAAUGUCUUCGGACCAAAGAUUUAUCGCCGAGGGAUGAGCCCGCGUAGGAUUAGGUAGUUGGUGGGGUAAUGGCCUACCAAGCCGACGAUCCUUAGCUGGUCUGAGAGGAUGAUCAGCCACACUGGGACUGAGACACGGCCCAGACUGCUACGGGAGGCAGCAGUGGGGAAUAUUGGACGAUGGGCGAAAGCCUGAUCCAGCAAUGCCGCGUGAGUGAUGAAGGCCGUAGGGUUGUAAAGCUCUUUUACACGGGAUGAUAAUGACAGUAACGGGAGAAUAAGCACCGGCUAACUACGUG